rnacentral:misc_RNA from 1 species
GAUGAAGAACGUAGCGAAAUGCGAUAAGUAAUGUGAAUUGCAGAAUUCAGUGAAUCAUCGAAUCUUUGAACGCACAUUGCGCCCCCUGGUAUUCCGGGGGGCAUGCCUGUUCGAGCGUCAUUUCACCACUCAAGCCUGGCUUGGUGUUGGGCGACGUCCCCUUUGGGGACGCGCCUCGAAACGCUCGGCGGCGUGGCACCGGCUUUAAGCGUAGCAGAAUCUUUCGCUUUGGAAGUCGGGGCCCCGUCUGCCGGAAGACCUACUCGCAAGGUUGACCUCGGAUCAGGCAGGGAUACCCGCUGAACUUAAGCAUAUCAAUAAGCGGAGGA